rnacentral:rRNA from 1 species
GCGAUUCGCCCUUCGGGGCGCACCAGGCGCGAAAACUUUACAAUGCACGAAAGUGUGAUAAGGGAAUCCAAAGUGCUCAUGUUUAACAUGGGCUUUUGCCAAGGGUAAAUACCUUGGAGAAUAAGUGGUGGGUAAGACUGGUGCCAGCAGCCGCGGUAACCCCAGCGCCACAAGUGGGAGCCACAAUUAUUUGGCCUAAAGCGUCCGUAGCUGGUUAUGUAAAUCUUUUGUGAAAUCGGAAGGCUCAACUUUCCGGCGUGCAGAAGACACUGCAUAACUUGAGAUUGGGAGGGGUAAGGAGUAUUCCUAGGGAACCGGUAAAAUGGGAUAAUCCUAGGAGGACUACCUGUGGCGAAGGCGCCUUACCAGAACAAGUCUGACAGUGAGGGACGAAGGCUAGGGGAGCGAACCGGAUUAGAUACCCGAGUAGUCCUAGCAGUAAACUCUGCGGGCUAGGUGUUACACCAUCUAUGUGAUUGUGUAGUGUCGUAGCGAAGGCAUUAAGCCCGCCGCCUGGGAAGUAUGGUCGCAAGACUGAAACUUAAAGGAAUUGGCGGGGGAGCAC